GUUAAAUUGUUCCUUAUAAAAUUGUUAUACGAUUAUGACUGAUGUACCCAUAUUUUGACUAUUUUAUUUAUUGUGUCUGUUUAGUUAACGCAUCAAUGUAAAUAUAACGGAAUUUGAUGAGAGUAUCAUCAAAGUGAGAUGGUUAGCGCUAUAAAACCAGGUUUAAUCCACCAUUUUCUACAUUUGAAAAUGCAUACCAAGUCAGGAAUAUGACAGUUCUUGUCCAUUCGUUUUUGAUGCGUUUUGUUAUUUGAUUUUGCCAUGUGAUUAUGGACUUUCCGAAUUGAUUUUCCUCUAAGUUCAGUAUUUUUGUGAUUUAACUUUCUACACUUUGCUACUCAUUUUACAGAUAUGUAUUUGUAAAGUUAUAAUGCAGCAGAUUAGAUUUGUUUGCCUUUUCGUUAUAAUUAGUUUUGUUAAUUCACUUUCUUACCACUGUAUGUAAAAUAUUAAAUUAGAAACCUAGCUAGUAUCUUUGCUGAUAUUUUAUAUUUGGUUAUUUUGUAUCUGUAAUUUGACCAUAUUAGUACAAUAUAGACAGUGGAAAUUGUAAAGCUUGGUGUUAAAAGAAUUUGUCGCCUUUAAAACUAAGGUUACAAAUUUGCCUCAGGCUUAAUUGUUUUUGUUGACCUUUUACACCACUAGGUCGAUGCCACUGCUGGUGAACGUUUCUUCCCCCCCGAGGGUACACCAAUCCAGUAGCACUUCGGUGUUGACAUGAAUAUCAAUUAGAUGGUCUUUUUUAUAUAUAUAUAAGUUUCCUGUUUACAAACCUUUGAAUUUUCGAAAAACUAAGGACUUUUUUUUUUAUCAUAGUUCGUUUCUGUGUGUGUAACAUUUUAACGUUGUGUAUCCGUUGUGUCGUUUGUUUUCUCUUAUAUUUGACUGUAAAUUCACAUUAUUAUAAGACGUGUCACGGUACUUUUCUAUCCCAAAUUCAUGUAUUUGGUUUUGAUGUUAUAUUGGUUAUUCUCAUCGGAUUUUGUCUAAUGCUUAGUCCGUUGCUGUGUGUGUAUUACAUUUUAAUGUUGUGUCGUAUUUAAUGCGUUUCCCUCAGUUUUAGUUUGUUACCCCGAUUUUGUUUUUGUCCAUAGAUUUAUGAGUUUUGAACAGCGGUGUACUACUGAUGCCCCCCUUUUUUUUAUCUCAGGAAUAGAUGACCGAAACAGUAUUUGGUACAACUUUUUGGAAUUUUGGUCCUCAAUACUCUUCAACUUUGUACUUGUUUGGCUACAUAACUUUUUAGAUAUUAGCUUCAUUGACGAGUCUUCUGUAGACGAAACGCGCGUCUGGCGUAUCAAAUUAUAAUCCUGGUACCUUUGAGAACCUUUUAGCUAUACGUACUCUUUACCUCCGUUUUGGUGACAAUGUCACUAACGUGUUUACAUAUAUAUAAAUACAUCCCUGGCUUUCAAAUAUAUAGGUUUGAUGAAAAUACAUUAAAAAAAGCGCUUCGGACGCGCGACAUUAAUAAAGUGCUAGCAAUAACCUGUUUGAUACCGUUUGUUCCUUAGUCAUAAGCUCUGUUGUACGUGCUUCGGCAAUGACAAGGUGUAUAACAAUUAUACAAUUAUCUCCAUUGAUAAUUUAAUAAAUUAUUAUAAGGGUCGGUUGAAAAAAAACUUUACGACAAAAGAGAUGAUUUCAGCUUUCCAACUGUGAACUUUCCAUUUCUAAGUAGCAACAUUCCAGCAGCACCAGCAUACGGGGUAUAUAUCUCCCAAUUGAUACGAUAUUCCCGUGCUUGCAUUUCCUAUCAUGAAUUUCUUGAUAGAGGGUUGCUGCUCACAAGGAAACUAUUAAACCAAGAGUUCCAAAUGGUGAAGUUGAAAUCAUCCCUUCGUAAAUUUUACGGACGCCAUCACGAGUUGGUUGACCGUUAUGGAAUAACCGUUUCACAAAUGAUAUCAGAUAUGUUCCUUACGUCGUAACUACAGUCCCCUUCCCUUUCAUGAAUGUGACCUACCGAAUUAGACUAUUUACCGGAUUUGUUAUCACAUAAGCAACACGACUGGUGCCACAUGUGGAGCAGGAUUUGCUUACCCUUCCGGAGCACCUGAGAUCACCCCUAGUUUUUUGGGGGGGGGGUUCGUAUUGUUUAUUCUUUUGUUUUCUAUGUUGAGUCAUGUGUGCUGUUUUUUUGUUGUCUUUUUCAUUUUUAGCCAUGGCGUUGUCAGUUUGUUUUAGAUUUAUGAGUUUUACUGUCCCUUUAGUAUCUUUCGUCCCUCUUUUAUCAAUAAGCUAAGGUUCAAUUUUGAAACAAAAAUCACUGCAUGCUUUUGUUACUCAUCUUCAUACAUUUAAAUAAAGAUAGUCUAAUAAAAGUACAUAUAAAAGCACAAGAGUUGUCUCUCUUCCUACAACGAUUUUAUUAUCAUAUUUGAAAACGUCAAAAUGCCUUUAUUCGUAGUUUUGUGUUGGCGUUAUCAUUCUUAUGUUAUAUUUCUAAAAUUUCAAGUACACUGAACAACUGCCCAGUGUCUGAACUUUACUGAUUUGGUAUAAAAACCAGGCUAAAAGAUGACAAAACAUAAACAAAAACACACCAAAGAUCACAAAUAAGUUCUUGAUCUAGAACCAACAAAAGCUGGUCAACAUAACUCUUGCUAUUCGCAUGAAUGUAAAUUAUACAAACUCA
rnacentral:lncRNA from 1 species